GCACCAACAUAUUACAUCUCAAUGGUUCUUUUCCUUCUCCGCAGCUUACUUUGCGCCAGCCGUGUGUGUUAUCUUCACCGGGCAUCGUCCCCAGUUAAUCAUGGACGUGAACUACUUUGGGAAUAUGCACGAAAUCUUCGCUUGCUCGGAAUAGAUGCAAGAGAGAUUGAAUCAUACAGAGCUCUAUGGCAGUGCGUUGCCCCCAAAGACAAACAAGAUCACAUCCAGUUUUGAUGUAAACAACAUUGUCGGUAUAUAGAAGUGUUGCAUGUAGGUCCUUCAAAUUGCGUAGAUAUAUCUGGUGUUGUUCAUUAGGUCGGAAAAUUGUAUGAUUUAUAUAUAGAGCACUUGACUUUUCGGUU